rnacentral:rRNA from 1 species
CCCUUAGAUGUUCUGGGCCGCACACGCGCUACACUGAAGGAGGCAGCGUGUACUCCUGGAUCGAAAGAUUUGGGUAACCCGCGAAUCUCCUUCGUGCUAGGGAUUGAGGUUUGCAAUUAUCCUUCAUGAACGAGGAAUUCCCAGUAAGUGCAAGUCAUAAGCUUGCGCUGACUACGUCCCUGCCCUUUGUACACACCGCCCGUCGCUACUACCGAUUGAAUGAUUUAGUGAGGACUUCGGACUGGGACCGAUGCGGCUUUCGGGCUGCGUCGGUAUUCUGGAAAGAUGUUCAAACUGUAUCAUUUAGAGGAAGUAAAAGUCGUANCA